rnacentral:rRNA from 1 species
CCUACGGGAGGCUGCAGUGGGGAAUAUUGCACAAUGGGCGCAAGCCUGAUGCAGCCAUGCCGCGUGUGUGAAGAAGGCCUUCGGGUUGUAAAGCACUUUCAGCGGGGAGGAAGGCGUUAAGGUUAAUAACCUUGGCGAUUGACGUUACCCGCAGAAGAAGCACCGGCUAACUCCGUGCCAGCAGCCGCGGUAAUACGAAGGGUGCAAGCGUUAAUCGGAAUUACUGGGCGUAAAGCGCACGCAGGCGGUCUGUCAAGUCGGAUGUGAAAUCCCCGGGCUCAACCUGGGAACUGCAUUCGAAACUGGCAGGCUAGAGUCUUGUAGAGGGGGGUAGAAUUCCAGGUGUAGCGGUGAAAUGCGUAGAGAUCUGGAGGAAUACCGGUGGCGAAGGCGGCCCCCUGGACAAAGACUGACGCUCAGGUGCGAAAGCGUGGGGAGCAAACAGGAUUAGAUACCCGUGUAGUC